rfam:Raoultella ornithinolytica strain S12, complete genome.
GAUCGCAGUUGCGAUCGCAGGGUUCAGUUAUCUAAAACCCCGAUUUAUCGGGGUUUUUUGUUAUCUGACUUCAGAAUAACUGGGCUAUACGCCCUUUUUUU